GAAUAUUGGACAAUGGGCGAAAGCCUGAUCCAGCCAUGCCGCGUGUGUGAAGAAGGUCUUCGGAUUGUAAAGCACUUUAAGCUGGGAGGAAGGGCAGUAAGUUAAUACCUUGCUGUUUUGACGUUACCAGCAGAAUAAGCACCGGCUAACUUCGUGACAGCAGCCGCGGUAAUACGAAGGGUGCAAGCGUUAAUCGGAAUUACUGAGCGUAAAGCGCGCGUAGGUGGUUUGAUAAGCGAGAUGUGAAAGCCCCGGGCUUAACCUGGGAACGGCAUUUCGAACUGUCAGGCUAGAGUAUGGUAGAGGAGUGUGGAAUUUCCUGUGUAGCGGUGAAAUGCGUAGAUAUAGGAAGGAACACCAGUGGCGAAGGCGGCACUCUGGACCAAUACUGACACUGAGGUGCGAAAGCGUGGGGAGCAAACAGG
rnacentral:rRNA from 1 species